AACGCGAAGAACCUUACCUGGUCUUGACAUCUACGGAGCCCUGCAGAGAUGCGGGGGUGCCUUCGGGAACCGUAAGACAGGUGCUGCAUGGCUGUCGUCAGCUCGUGUCGUGAGAUGUUGGGUUAAGUCCCGCAACGAGCGCAACCCUUGUCCUUAGUUGCCAGCAUUCAGUUGGGAACUCUAAGGAGACCGCCGGUGACAAACCGGAGGAAGGUGGGGAUGACGUCAAGUCAUCAUGGCCUUUAUGACCAGGGCUACACACGUGCUACAAUGGUGGUGACAGUGGGCAGCGAAGGCGCGAGCCGGAGCCAAUCCCCAAAAGCCAUCUCAGUUCAGAUUGUACCCUGCAACUCGGGUGCAUGAAGUUGGAAUCGCUAGUAAUCGUAGAUCAGCACGCUACGGUGAAUACGUUCCCGGGCCUUGUACACACCGACUGUAC
rnacentral:rRNA from 1 species